GGAUUCCCCUAGUAACUGCGAGUGAAGCGGGAAAAGCUCAAAUUUAAAAUCUGGCGCAAGCCCGAGUUGUAACCUAGAGAAGUGUUUUCGGCCAUUGACUUGGACAAGUCCCUUGGAACAGGGCGUCAUAGAGGGUGAGAAUCCCGUACUUGCCAAGCUCCCAAUGUCUAUGUGAUACGCUCUCGAAGAGUCGAGUUGUUUGGGAAUGCAGCUCAAAAUGGGUGGUAAAUUCCAUCUAAAGCUAAAUAUUGGCGAGAGACCGAUAGCGAACAAGUACCGUGAGGGAAAGAUGAAAAGCACUUUGGAAAGAGAGUUAAACAGUACGUGAAAUUGUUAAAAGGGAAGCGCUUGAAGUCAGUCGCGUCUUCAGGGACUCAGCCUUAACCGGUGCAUUUCCUUGUCGACGGGCCAACAUCGAUUUUGACCGUGGAAAAAAGACUUGGGGAAGGUGGCAGCCUCGGCUGUGUUAUAGCCUCUUGUCAUACGCCACGGUUGGGAUCGAGGACUGCGGCUUUUGCCUAGGAUGUUGGCGUAAUGGCUUUAAGCGACCCGU
rnacentral:rRNA from 1 species